rnacentral:rRNA from 1 species
GAUGAACGCUGGCGGCGUGCCUAAUACAUGCAAGUCGAGCGAAUGGAUUAAGAGCUUGCUCUUAUGAAGUUAGCGGCGGACGGGUGAGUAACACGUGGGUAACCUGCCCAUAAGACUGGGAUAACUCCGGGAAACCGGGGCUAAUACCGGAUAACAUUUUGAACCGCAUGGUUCGAAAUUGAAAGGCGGCUUCGGCUGUCACUUAUGGAUGGACCCGCGUCGCAUUAGCUAGUUGGUGAGGUAACGGCUCACCAAGGCAACGAUGCGUAGCCGAGCUGAGAGGGUGAUCGGCCACACUGGGGCUGAGACGCGGCCCAGACUCCUACGGGAGGCAGCAGUAGGGAAUCUUCCGCAAUGGACGAAAGUCUGACGGAGCAACGCCGCGUGAGUGAUGAAGGCUUUCGGGUCGUAAAACUCUGUUGUUAGGGAAGAACAAGUGCUAGUUGAAUAAGCUGGCACCUUGACGGUACCUAACCAGAAAGCCACGGCUAACUACGUGCCAGCCGCCGCAGUAA